CACCAUCACAAAUUACCAGUAUUAGUCGCCUAGCUAGCUAACUUUUUAUUUAAAAAAAACAUGAAGAGAUUUUCCCUUAUUGUUUUGUGCGUGGUGACUCUAGUGGUGGUGUUGUUUUCAGGUUCAGAGGCAGUGCCAGCGCCAAAAUGUGAUAACCCCUUGGAGUACAGCUCAUGCUUGAACGCGUAUAAGAAGCCACCUCCAUCAGCCAGUUGUUGCCAGAAGAUGAAGGAACAAGCAUCAUGCUAUUGCGAGUACAUGAAGAUAGAAGAUGUCAAACGUGUUUUUGACAGAGUUGAGAUUGCGAAAAUGGCUAAAUUGUGUGGAGUUUCAUAUUCUUCCACCUGCUAGAAUCCCGUUUGGUUUCAUAUGACUAUCUCUGGCUGGGAUAAUGUGGUAUCUCAAUAAAUGAAAAUUUUAUUUGAAAACUAAUUUUCUCAUAAUUUCGACUAUAAUAUACUUGUGUUCUUUUUUUUUUUUUUUGGAAUGAUACUGGUGAUUUUCUAUUAUUUACCUUUAUUGUCCUGAUUCAUGUUACAUAUGUGCUAAAAGAACUACACAAUGAUCUAGAUUUUGAUUGAACCGUACUGGAUUGGUUGGAUUGGAAACUGGUCUAGAUACUAGUAUAAUUACAGGGGUUAGAUUGGUUGACCCAUGAACCAAUAGGGACUAGUUGAAUCGAUUUUCUCUAUUUCUUAAAAAUAUUUUUAUAUUUAUUUGAAUUUUUAAAUAAUUUAUUUAAUAAAACUAGACGAGUUGGUCGAAAUGAAAAAUAGUUAUUUGACUGAUUCGACCAUCAGUCCAAUUCUGAAAACAGUGUUAUAGUUAAAAAAAAAAGAAAUGGGUAGGGUAGAUCAAAUUAUUAAAUUAUAAACAUAUAUGUUAUUCGAAUAUUUAUUUGGGUAAAGUACACUAGUAGUCACUCAACUAUUAGUAAAUUUCUCUUUUGCGCACUGAAUUAUGAAAAAUUACAAAAUGAUCACUCAAUUAUUCAAUUUUCUCUUUUUUGAUCUCUUGUUAGCUAAUGAUGGUAGCUAGACUUGUUAAUUGGCCGAGUUACCUUCCCAAGCAAGUAACAACCCAUUUUUCGGUGGUGUCAGAAACAAUGGUUUCAGAACCACAAAUCCGAUAAGUAAGUCUAUAUAUUUAUUAUUUAAUAUUUAUGAGUCAGUUUCAAUAUUAUAUUGAAUUCGUGAUUAAUAAUUUUUAUAAAUUGAACGAAUAGAUAAGUAAAAGUGGUUCAAUCCCAAGUCAAGUGGUUAUUGAAAAUGAGACGUUGGGACCUCAUUUCCAUAAUUUAAGAUCGUAAAUAUUUUUAUUAAAUAUAUAUGGAGUCUUAUUAUAGGUGAAUUUAAGUUUGGUUCGGUAAUUUUGACUUUCCACUGACCUUUGGGAUAUUUAUUCAUUAGGUCCUAAUUAGUUUAAGGUUAAAUUGAAAUAAAGUUGUUUGAUUUGAUUUAAUAUAAUUGAAGGACCAAUUGUGUAAUUGGACUUUUCUUAAAUGGUCAAACGGUAGGAAGGAUAUGAAAUUCUCUAGUUUUGUGAUUAAUUGCUAUUAGAUUCUUAUCAUUUAGUAAUGUAUUAAAAAAGACUAAAUCGUAAAGAAUGAAAAAGUUUAGUUUUAUUAAUUGGAAAGGUAAAUUAAAUGGACCUAGAUGGUAAUUAUGCCAUAUAUAUAUGUGAUGGACAAUUAUGAACAUGUGUUAGAGAUAUUAUAAGUGUAAUUUAAAGGUUAAUUUUGUAAAUAAGUAAAUAGGUUAAUGAAAAAUAAAAGAUAACAAAAUUUAAAAAGCUAUCAUCUUCUUUAUCCAUUCAAGAAAACCGAAAACACCAUUUUUAGAGGAGAAACAAGUUCGUCCAACUAGGGUUCUUCCAUUUAAGAGCUAAACCUUGCUCAUUUUUAGUAAUUUUUAUGUUUUUAAGUUCAUUUUAGCUUGAUCUAGCUAACCCGGGGUCUAAUUUGUAAAACUGUUAAACGUUUUGGAUUAUACCAUUGAUGAUUUUAGUGUGUUCUUGAAGUUCAAUGAUAGAUUAUUAAGCUUGGUUGUUAAAUAAUACUAUUUCGUAAAGUAAUUUUUUUUGCAAUUUUAAUGUUAAAGGACCAAAAUGUUAAAGUGAUAAAAUUACAAGGACCUGAUGUAAAAUAAUAGCAAGUAUGAGCUAUAAUGGAAUAGGAUACAAUUCGGUUGAAUUUUGAUUUAGUUAAAAUUGGUUAAAUUACAAGUUUGAAGCUUAGAGACUAAAUUGUAUAAAAGUAAAAUGUUGGGGGUAAUUUUGUAAAAAUAUAAAAAAUGACUUAAUUGCACAAAAUAGUUAAUUAUGUUUCUGGAAAUUGAUAAUUGGCUAAAAUUAUUAUUUAGAUUGUGAACGAGUUGAAAAUUGAGGAAAAGAGAAAGUUGCUGAAUAGUCAUUGAACUUUUGUCAUUUCUGUAGUUUAGCUCUGGCAAGUUCAUCUAAUAUGAACUCAAUUAUAUUUCUAAUUGUUUAUGAAUGUUAGAGCUUAAAUGAUAUAAAAUUACUAACAUUUAAAUUGAUUUAUUGAUAGAACUGAAACUGUAAAAAGUUACGAAAAUGGUAUUUUUUUAUAUCAAUGGAGACAGACUGCAUUCGUACGUAAGACCAUAACAAGGCUAUGGAAAUUAUAAACGUAAGACCAUAGUGAGACUAUGGCCGUUGUUCGGAUAUAAGACCAUGGUUGGACCAUGGCAAUGUAUACGUAAGACCAUAGCGAGGCUAUGGUAGUUAUUUAUACGAAAGACCAUGGUUGGACCAUGGCAAUGUAUAUAUGUAAGACCAUAGCUGGGCUAUGGCAUUCUGAUGAUAAGACCAUAACCGAGUUAUGGAACUAUGAACGCAAGGCCAUGACAAUGCACAUGUAAGACCAUAUUUGGACGAUGGCACAAUAUGAAACGUGUACUGGGGUUUCAAUCGUCUUUACAAUAUUCAUCGAAUGGAAAUAAAUGAGGAUCUAAAUGUGAUUUGAUAUGCGAAACGGUAAGUGGUUCGUAAUAGUAUAUACGUGUAAAUGUGGUAAAUGUUGUAUUAUCAUUAUAUGUUCAAGAGAUUAUGCAUUGUGAUAGUAAGAAAUGCGAAUGUUGUUGAAAUGUGGAAAUUUGAUUUGAACUAAUGUUUGAGCAUUACUCACUUAUUGUGAGCUAUGAUUGUCAAGAAUUCUGAUAAUAACCUUAUUGACAGGAACUCUGUUCAUUUAUCUUGUUAUUUUAAUUAUUAUGUUUAAUUUAGUAAGCUUUAUUGUUUAAUCGACGAACUUACUAAGCUUUAUGUAAGCUUACUCGUUUUCUUGUCUUUUUUUUUUGUAGAUUACGUUUUGUGGAAAUCAGGAGAUCGAAUCAACUCAUAGAAUCACACUACUCGAGGACCUCUUUGGUAGAUUUUGAAUUCAACUUGGCUUAUAUGGCAUGUAAUAGGAGAAUUUGAUUAUGUUUUGUAAUGGCUCCUAACUACUUACAUUGUAUAGUUGUUGUGUAUAUAAGGUUGUGGUUUGAAUAACUUUGUUAGAUAUGCAUCCUUAAUUCUAAACUUAAGCAUAAUGGAUGAACAUGGAAUGAUAAGUUGGCAUGAAUUAGAUAUGGUAAGUUGGGACUGAAUUUGAGUGUGUUUGUGGUUUGUGUAUAUUUGCUAAGGUAAUGAGAUCGUAGGGUUAGACUUGUGGUGUCUUUGUUGACACAUUGGAUUAGGGUCUUGGCUAAAUGAUUUAGCAUGUUUUGAAUGUUCUCGAAUGUGUUUUGAAGUCUUAUGAUCAUGUGUUAUAAAAUGGUUUAGGUACCUAAUCAUUUAGAUGUGAAAAGUGCAUGUUUUGAGUCAUUUUUAGGCACACACGGCCUGGGACACAGGCUUUCACAUGGUCGUGUGUCACACAUGAGCAACCCAUACGGGUGUGUGCUCCGAGUGUGUUAGGUGUAGGGUUCACACGGGCUGGCACAUGGGCGGAGACACGGGCAUGUGAGCCAAGUCAGUGAGUUACACGGGUGGACACACGGUGAGAACACGAGCAUGUGGAGUAGCCACACGGGCCUGUGGGAUAGCUACACGGCUAUGUCUGGAGGCACACGGUCUGGACUCUGUCACACGUCUUGGACAUAUAGCCGUGUAACCCUUGUUUUGAAAAUUUUUCAAUUUUUCUCUAAACUUCUUGAUUUGAUUCGAAUUGGUCCCUAAUUGUUCCUAAUAUAUUUUUAAGGUCUCGUAGGCUCGAUUUAGGCUCCGUAAAAUAUUUUUAUUUCAUUCUGAAUUAUAUUUGUAUUUGUGAAAUUGAUAUGAUUAUUAGAUGUUAAUUGUUAUGAGAUGUUCCGAAUUGUACGAUAAUACUCUGUAACCCUAUUCUGAUGACGAAAACAGGUUAUGGGUAUUACAUUUAGUGGUAUUAGAGUCACAGUUUAGUCGAUUCUUGGAUUGACCGUUACGUGUUCGAAGUCUAGAAAUUACAUGCCAUAUAAAUCGGUGAUAGUGUGAUAUGGAUCGAUCCGAUCUAACCCCUAUUUUAUUGUAAAUUAUAAAGAUGUCAUUUGAAUCUGAUCGUGACGAAACUAAUGAAGUUAAUAGUAACAUUCUGACUACUGAUUCUGGUGCAAGUCAUAGUAUACAAGUUCCACAAAUGACUGAAAAUGAGGUUAAGAAUAUUUUCUUACAGAUUUAAUGAAUGCUAAUAAAAUCUGACCAUACUGACCUUGAUGAGGUAAAUGGUAAUAUUCCAACUUAUAAAUAAGAGGUAAAUUAUAGUUUAUCGAUUUUGUAAAUGUCAAAUAGUGAAGUCAAAAUUUCCUUUCAACUUAAUGAGUUAGUAGUUCACAGAAAUAACGUGAGCCAAUUCGGAGGCUCUAUAAUUUCUACCCCUUGUCGAGCAUCAUGUGGUAACUUUGAGUCUUCAACCGACUGAAAUAGUUCGACGACUCUUGUGUAAAUAAUUAAGCAGUAUAGUGAUGAAGACUUCAGAAGUAAAACGGAUGAAGAUUCUAUUAACCGAAAAAUUGGAGAGAUUGAUUAAAAAUAAAAUUAACUAAAUUAAUUAACUAAAGAACACGACAAAGAACGAAUCAGGAAGACAAAUGAUUAACAACCAAGAAGCGAAACAAUAUCCAGGAAAGAAUCCACCUAGAUUUUAUCUGUCAUUAUCAAUCUGAAUUAAACAAUUUCUUCACUUUGCAUCUUGAUUUGUAGAAAUCUCUAAAUUAGGCUAAUAUUUAUUUCGACAGUAAAAGCAACUGACUUUAGGUUGAUUAAUUAAAAUUUCUUUCCAAUAAAAGCCCCUAAUAUCUCAUUAACUCGAUCUAUGGAUCCCCCUAUUAGAUUUGACUCUAAUGUAGUAGAUUUAUAUUGUCUUAUUUCUAGGAUUGCAUGCUCAAUUAUGCUAGAGCUACUCUUAAACAGAAACUUUUCCUCAUCUGAUUUAAGCACAUCAAGCAUGGAUUGAUAAUUUAAAAAUAUUAAACCAAGGAUUAAGCACAAAUAAUUGAUAACAAGAUGUAAGUAUUUAUUGCGUAAAAUAGAAGUUAAACAACCUAAUUCAUCAUAUGGUUUAUCUCCCCUAGGUAUUUAGAAAAUUAGUUCAUAAUCGCAAAUAAAAGUAUCUAGAAGACAGUAUAACCACAAGAAAUAAGAAAACCGAUAAAGGUUUUCAAUAUUGAUGGAAAUCUACUUUAGAGUCGGCUUCAAUGGUGUUUUUUGAGUUGUUUUCUUGAGUAUUAUAUGAUGGCUCACUCCCUUCUCUUUAUAUUUGGUAUGUAUAGGUUUUAGAAUGCCCGAAAAACCUAAAAAUUACGUUUUUCUGCAUUUCUGGAGUGCAUUUUACGAUUUCUACACAGUCUGGCACACGCCCGUAUGGCUCACACGGCUGUGUGUCUAGCUCAUGUGGAAUCGCUCAGCCAGUGUGGCUCCUGAAACUUGUUCCUAUUUUUCUAUUUUCUCUCGUUGUUUAGUCCUUUUGCUCCCAAAUACUCUCCUAAGUGUAAAAACAUGAAUUUAAAGGAUUAUGAACAUAAAAUUCACCAUUUUAAAUCGAAUAAUCAUCCAAAAAACACUUUAAGAAUUAGGCUAAAACAUGUUACUUUUGGCAUUUAUCAAAUAUCCCCACACUUAAACGUUUGCUUGUCCUCAAGCAAAAUCCUCAACCCGCAUUCAAAUUAAUUGUUCUCAAUUUAUCAUUUUCAUCAAUAAUGUUUUAAGAUAAUUCGCAAACAAUCAUGGAUUGAAAAUUCAACCAAAAGGAUACUAAAGAUUCAAGCAAUCCAAGCCAUUACCAUAAAGUUAUCUCACAUUAUCUAAACAAUUAUCUUAAGGUUCAAAUAUUGCGCACUCAACAUUCGAACGAGAACUGCCAUUACCAUAAGCUUGCUUAAAAAUAAAAUCUUCACCACUAUAGAAUGAGAUGACACACCAAUCAAGAGGUAUUUUCAAGGUUGUAAUAGGCCUUAGGUUAAGGGUAUGGAAAAUGUCAGAAAAGUCGAUUAUAAUCGAGAUCGAAUUGAUAAGUUACCAAACUAGAAAAAUAAUCAGUUGCUGAAUUAAAAGAACUUUUUUUUAAAAGAUAUAACUGGGCUAGUAUAAAUAAGGGAAACAAAACACAAUAAUACCUAAUAUAAUUAGGUUUGGAGUUUGCUGAAAACACCCUAAAGCAAUAGGUGGGCUACAAAGUUUACCUAUCAGAAUUUUAGCCUAACAAAAUAGAAACGAAAAAAUGAAAAAAAAACACAAAACCUAACAUUAUUACCCAGUCAAAUCAGACAGCCUGGACACAUUAAAAUCUCUCUUUUUCAUGCUGAAUCAUCACAUCUGUUUGGCAGAAAAAAAUUUCCAAAACGUUCUUUCUUCAAUCCUGUUACCAUUUUCAAUUCUCUUUCUUUUUGAAAUUUUCUUCAAUCCGGGUUUCUUGACCAUUCCUCUUCCAUGGGUUCUUCGUUGUAGAUCGACUCAUCUCUAACCAGGUACCUCUUUUCCCCAUUUGCUAAUGUUUCUUUUGCUAUUUUGUGGGCUUGGAAGUUCUCUGAUUUUUGAAUAAACUGAAAAUCUAUUUCUUGAAAUAGCGAACUAUGACUCUUGAUAUCUUUGAUAACUACUCCAAUGAUCGAUUUAUCCAUCUCUGUCGAUUGACAUUUUUUAAUGACUGUUUUCGAAUCUCCCCUUAUUGUGACUGAUCGAAGGCCCAGUGAAAUACCCAGCUUGAUUGCUUGUAAACAAGCGAAUGCCUCUGCAAGAAAUGGGGAUGAGACAUUGGAAUGAAGGGUUGUUUUUAAGACUCUUAUCUCUCCCUUCCAGUUUCGUACAAUGACCCCCGACGCUGAUCUGGACCUGUUUGCAUCAAAAGCUGCAUCAAAUUGUAUUGUGUCCUCCAUUUUCUCCUCCGUCUCUGUAUUUUGGCAGUCUUCAAGGUACGUCUUUCCUUACCCACUCCUUCAAGUUCUGCUAUAUAGCUCUCUACUUUCUGUGUAAGGUUCCUUCCUGAUGUGUUUUUUCUCAUGUACCAUUUGAUUUCGUGAGCUCCAUAUGAUCCAUAAAGCGCAACAAAACAUCUGACACUGUUCCUUAGUUCCUUUUGCAAAUACCCAUGUAAGCCAUGUUUUGGUAUUUUGAUCUGAAUAUGAUGUAACCCAAUCCAUGUUAAUAUUCUGCCAAACUUCAGUAAUUGUAGGGCAUUGCUGGAAUACAUGGAAGCUGUCCUCUUCCCCGGAGCCACAACGAGGGCAUCUCACGUUUGUGGUUAUUCGCUUGUAUCGUAGGUUGGCUAGUGUAGGAAUAUAAUUCCAGGAUAUCCGCUAGACAAACAGUAGAGUUUUUGAUGGAAGUUGUAAAUCCCAUAACUUUCUGUAGAAUUCUUUAAAAUCUGUCUAUAAUAAGUUAUUAAAAAUCGAAUCAACUUCUUGUAAUAGUUUAUAGGCACUCCGUACAGAGAACUCUCCGGUCGGUUCACCUUUCCAAACGUGUAAGUCUUCACUGUUCGUUUCUGCAAGUGGUAUCUCCAAAAAUUUUUGAGCUAUAUCUGAUUGAAAGGUACUAAUAAUGACCUCCGUUUUCCACUUCUUAUUUGUUCCAUCAAUUAAAUCUGAUACUAUUUUUAGUUCCCUAUUUUCAUCUCCGUUCUGCCAUGUACUAGGUUCAAUCCUUGGAAUCCACCGAUUUGUCCAGAAGGAAACAUUGUUUCCUCUCCAACUCUCCAACUUAGCCCUGGAAGGAGGAGUCUCUUUGUUGCCCAGAUGCUCUUCCAGGUAAGAGAAGGUAAAUUCCCUAACUUUGCACUUAAAAAAUCAGAUUGUGGAUAAUACUUUGCUUUAAGGACUCUAGCUAAAAGUGAAUUUGGAUAAUUAAAAAGAUGCCACCUGUAAUGGCCCAAAUUCAAAAUUAUCGGAAUAGUGGUUUCGUAACCACAAAUCCAAUUUAAAGAGAAAUUUAUUUUAAUAUUUUUGCAUGAAUAUUGAUAUGAUAGGAAAAAUCGUAUGAAAAUAUCGAUAGAAAAAUUUUACUGAUUAAGCGGUUAGUUAGAAAAAGAAAUUAUUGAAGAAAUUAGGUAAAAAUAAGAUAUCGAGACUUCGAUCUCGUAAAACCGAGUCAAAAAUAUUUUUAUAAAUAUUUAUGAAGUGUUAGUAAUAUGGUAUUAAAAUUUCGUUAGAAAAUUUUAAUGUUUGGGUAGUCAAUUAAGUAAAAAGGACUAAAUUAAAAAAGGUGUAAAAGUUACUAGAGGGAUUAAAUAGCUCAGUUGUGAAAUGAGGAGAGACAUAAAUUGCAAAUAACCCCAAAAGGAGAUAUUUUGGGCGGCAUACUCUGAGAAAAAUCAGGAGAAUUGAAGAAAUAAGGGUAAAAUUGGAAUAUUACAAAAUUUGCUUUAAAAGUUAGAACUAAAGUGGAAUUAUCUAGAUUUCUCUUUAUUUUUCUGCAUUCUCAUCAGCCAAAAACGUCCUAAGGGUUUCUUCAAGCUGGUUUUUCAUAAUUUUUGCACCAAGUGAGCUAAUUCUUGCCUUUUUCUUGUAAUUUUUGUGUUUCUAAGACUUUUACAACUAGGUCCUAUUACUAAAUUCAUUAGUUUUUGAUUUUAUGAAUGAUAUUGAAAGUUGAUAUGAAUAUGUGCUGGAAUUUUAUGAGGAAAUAGGAUUAAAUUGAUGCUUUAAUUUGUUUAUGAGAUGAUUUUAUUAGGUAAUUCCAAUAGAAAUUGAUUUGUAGGACCUAAUUGUGAAAAAGUUUGGAAUUAAAGUUUAGUGCUGAAAUUAUGAUUUCCAAAGGUUAUAAGGUAGUUUAAAGUGAUAUAAUAAAGUGUUGAUUGAGAAAAAUCAGCUCAAUUGAGAGGUUAAUUGAGCAGGGACGAAAUUAUCAUUGUUGAAAGUUUAAGGGAAAAAUGGUAAUUAACACCAUGCACUAAAACAGUUUUGGACAGCAGCAGUACUCUGACUUUGAAAAAUCACCAAAAAUUGUAGAGAUCGAAUUAGAGGAUGAAUAAAAUAUGAAAUUAAAGAUUAUUGAGUCUAGUUUCUUAUAAAAGAAACGAUGUAAGCAAUGGAAUUCUAAAUCAUGAGAUAUAAUAGAUUUUGUGAGACAAGGUCAGAAUGAAUUCGGGUUCCCCUGUUCUGACUUUGGAAAAUCAUUAAAAAUUGUAAAAAAAUUAUUAUGAGUUAUAAUUUAUAUUAUUAGAAUCCUUAAUGAGUCUAUUUUCUGAAGAAAUAAAGUUAAGCAUCAUCCUAAUUCUGUACAGUGAGAUAAUUUAUUUUUAGUGAAGAGGGGUCAGAACUGUCAUAUAGUGAAACAGGGGAAACUUUAAAGAAUAAAAUGUACUUAUUGGCUAAACUAAAAAUUCUGAAAUUUUUAUGGUAAGAAUAUAUGUGAGUCUAGUUUCAGGUAAAAUUAACGGAUCUUAAUUUGGAGUUCUGUAGCUCAAGAUAUAAAUAAUUUAAUGACUGUGACUCAGUGAGGCAGCUUUGAAUGCACUAUAAAUAAUAAUGUAAUUGUAGAGAAAGUUACAUAUGAACAUGAAAUGUAUUAGAUUAAUGAUUAAAUUUAUUUAUUUAGAUCCAGAAAAUUCAAAUACGAAGCAAGAUCGAGGAAAAGAAAAAGUUCGGGAUUAGUAGAUUUUUGUUUACGAACAAUUGUCGAGGUAAGUUCGUGUAACUUGAAUUAUAUUCAUAAAUGCUUGAAAUGUUUGUUAUUGAUGUGAAUAUGAUUUGGAUGUUUAUUGUAUGAUAACUGAUGAAGUAUUGAUAUUCUGGAUGAAAAGAGGAAAUAAAUCCCGGUUGAAUGAAAGGAAAAUUCGAUGGAUCUCUGAAAAGGAAUUGACGGUAAAAAGGAUCUAGCCCGGACGGGUGAUCCUAUCCUGAUAUAGCCCUCCCGAAGAAUAUGUGGAAAAUGGAUUUAGCCCGGACGAGUAAUCUGAAUUAGGGUCUGAAUUUAGCCUGGACUGGUAAUUCAGAUCCAAGCUCAUUAGAGUAAUUGUCGUUGCAGGGAUUUAGCCUGGACUGGUAAUCCCGACAUACUCUGUGAGUUAUAUUAUAGGGGAUUUAGCNNNNNNNNNNNNNNNNNNNNNNNNNNNNNNNNNNNNNNNNNNNNNNNNNNNNNNNNNNNNNNNNNNNNNNNNNNNNNNNNNNNNNNNNNNNNNNNNNNNNAAUUGACGGACCCGGAUUUGUACACUUAGGUGUACCCCUGAAUAUCCAUCGAAAUUCCAAGUAGUUCAACGGGAUAAAUAUGGAAAAAUAACAAGGAAAUGGAAAUCAUGGAAUUGAUGAGCUCAUCAAUCAUUUAUCUUUGUAAUGAAUUUGUAUGAGGUUGAGUUUGUAUGUGAUAGGUAUAUGUUUACGUGAAUUGGAUGUGUGCUUGUGUUAUUAAAUGAUGGAUGUAUAAGUAUGGUAAGUGUAAUUCCUGUUGCAUGAACUUACUAAGCACAAAGUGCUUACCCUGUUUCUUUUUCCCCUGUUUGUAGAGUUAAGAGUUCGGAGGUCGGAUUUGGUCGGAGACACAUCACACUAUCAAUCUCGAGAUCUCGGUACAUAAAGGAACUUUAUUUUGGAAAUCAAUGGCAUGUAUAAGCUAGUAAAUUAGAUGUUAAUGUGAAAUGAAUGUAUGGUUAGCCAUUGGUAUGGCUAACAAAUUUUGGUUUUGGUAUGUGAUGAAAUUAUCUUAUGAAUAUGAUAAAUCUAUCUUGAAAAAAAAAAUUCGGUAAAAUCUGGUAAUGCCUCAUACUCUAUUUCGGCGGUGAAUACGUGUAGGGGGUAUUACACCACCCCUGUUUGGCUAAUAACACAAUAUUAAGCUGACUGAGAUUACGAAAACCCAAACCUCCAUUUUCUUUUAAACUGCAAAGUUUAUUCUAAGAGCACCAAUGAAUUCCCCUUGUACCAUGACCCUUUUCCCACAAAAUUUUGCGAUAAUUGCUUCCAUUUCUUCGCAUAAAGUUUUUGGGAGUAAGAAGCAAACCAUUGAAUAUGUCGGGAGGGCCUGUAAUACAGCUUUGAUGAAAACUUCUUUCCCGCCCUGCGAUAAAAAUCUAGUGCUCCAGUUGUCAAUACGCUGCCUUAGUCUAUCUUUCAAAGCCUGAAAAGAAGCCUUUUUUUUUUAUCCUACCAUGGUCUGUAACACCCCUUACUCGAGACCGUUUCCGGAGUCGAGCUCAAGGCAUUACUUUAUUUAACUUAUUAGUUCGGGGCAUAAAAGUUUGCUUUUAAAAUUUAUCUCACUAUCUAUGAUAAAGCUGUCCACUCGCGCAGCAGUCACUAAAUCAUUUAUAACUCGAGCUACGGAACUCGAAAUUUAAAUCCGUAAAUUUUCCUUGAAACUAGACUCAUAUAUAUUCUUACCAUUAAUUUUUUAGAAUUUUUGGUUUAGCCAAUUAGUACAGUUUAUUAGUUAAAGUCUCCCCUGUUUCACCACUCAAUUGUCCUAGCCUCUUGCCACUAAAAAUAAGUUUUCUCAUUUUAGGAAUUUCGUAUGGUGUUCUCACUUGUUUCUACAAAAAAUAGACUCAAUAAGGAAUCUAGACAUACAAAUUACAACUCAUUUUUUACAAUUUUUAGUGAUUUUCUAAACUCUGAACAGGGGACUCCAAAAACGGUUCUGACCCUGUCUCACCAAAAUUCGCAUAUCUCAAAAUAUAAAAUUCCUUUUGCUAAACCGUUAUUUUUCCAUGAAAAUAGACUCAACAAAAUUUCAGUAUAUAUAUCAUACACCCUCUAAUUCAUUUUAUACUAUCCUAAGUGAUUUUUCAAAAUCACGUCAUUGCUACUGUUUGAAAUCUGUUUCUUUGCAAAUUAUUACUCUUUCAUGAUUUCUAUGCAUAAUUUAUCACAUAGACAUGUAUAACAACAAACACCUUCAUACUUAACCAUUUUGACAACAAUUCAUCUUUAGAUAUUUACACAUCAUUAUUUAGCAAAAUCAUAAUACAACAUUCAAAAUAAGUAAGUCCAUAUACAUGCCAUAGUUCAAACAUAGUUCAUCAUAAAAUACCGAGUCGUUGUGGUUGAUAGUGUGGACGAUCUCCGACGUCUUUAGGAUCCUCGACUUUGAUUAAUAAUGCUAUAUAAAAAGAAAAUAAGCAAAGUAAGAAUAAUGCUUAGUAAGUUUACAAGUAAAUAAAUAGCAACAUUUAACACAAUUAAUAAUACUCAAGUGACAUAAUCUUUAAUUUCCUCUGUACUUACUUCCUUACUCGUUCUCUUGCUUGUUUACUUAGUUAGCUCAUAAUUAUGACUUACUUUUCUCUUGCUGAAACGUUGAUUCUCAAUGGGUAACAUAAUAUACUCUUAACUCUUAUAACUCACUUGAACUUGCCAUUUAUGCUUUUAACUAAAUUUUCAUGAACAUAAGUUAUUUACUAGCCUGUUGAGCCACAUUGAAACAAUAAUGAUACUUGGGUCUCUUUCUGAUAAUAACAUGCCAAAGCCAUGUCCCAGACAUAGUCUUACAUGGGAUGUUUCAUGUACUACCAAUGCCAUGUCCCAGACAUGGUCUUACGGGGGACCUCUCAUCUCGGUGCCAACGCCAUGUCCCAGACAUGGUCUUACGGGGGACCUCUCAUCUCGGUGCCAACGCCAUGUCCCAGACAUGGUAUUACAUGGGACCUCUCGUCUUGGUGCCAACGCCAUGUCCCAGACAUGGUCUUACAUGAGACCUCUCAUGAUCUCAAGGAUGCCAAUGCCAUGUCAUAUACAUGGUCUUACAUGGGAUCUCUUUACCCAAAUGUCAUGACAUUUGCAUCCAAUACGUUCCUCAUGUUUCAACGGGGCCUUUUAACACUGAUUCUCUGUCAUCUCAUACUUGAGUUAACAUUAGAUAUUUUCAUGAAAUAAAUACAUAAUUGCUGAAAAAUAACAAUAUUAAUAAUAAUUAUCAAAAUAUUGCAUUUAUUUACCGUAAACUUACCUCGGUACCAAAUAUAGCCAAAUCUACCACUUAGUCUUCAAUCUUAUUCUUUCCUUGAUCUAACCUCAAAUUCCAUUCUUUUUGAUCUAUAAUAGAAAAUUUAAAUUAUUUAAUACUCACAUUCAUUAAAACAUCCCUCGACUCUAACUUUGGAAAAAUUACAAUUUUUCCCCUAAACUUUUACAUAAUUACACUUUUUCCCCAAAGCUCGGAAAUUAAACUUCAUCUCUUAUUCUUAUGUUUUACAACAUGCUGAACAUUUUUCUCUUCUAUGACAACAUCAAAUUCUCACUCUAACAUCUACUUAUGAACAUUAGGUAUUUUAUCGAUUAUGGAGUUUUACUCGUUUUUGCUUAAAAUCGACUAGCAAAAGUUGUUUAACAUAAUUUCUAACUUCAUAUUAUAUAUUAAAACAUCAAAAUAAACACUUUUCACCUAUGGGUAUUUUUCCAAAUAUAAACCCUAGGUUAAAUUAUUGCUAGAAUAAACUAAAUUAAGCUACCGGGAUCGCAAAAAUGUAAAGAACAUUAAAAACAGGGCUUGGAAUCACUUACUAUGAGCUUGAGAAAGUGUGAAAACCCUAGCUAUGGUGUCCUUCAAAUUUUGGCAGCAAGCUUUUUUGGAGAAGAUGAUAUUUUUGCCAUCUUUUUCCCUUUUUAUUCUUUUUAUUAUUCAAUGACUAAAAUACCCUUCAUUAAAACUUUAAUUAUUUUUAUCUAUGCAUGUCUAUUUUUGUCCAUGGAAAUUUUAUGGUCUAAUUGCUAUUUAAGGACCUCUACUUUGAUUAUGCACUUCAAAUAAAUCCUUUAUCAUCUAAAACUCAUAUUUACCCACUUUUGCAAUUAAGUCCAAAUAGGCAAUUUAGGCAUGCAAUCAAUAAAAUUUCUUAUCAAUACUCUAGUACUUAUAUCUAAUUACUCGAUAAAUAAUAAAAAUUAAUAAUAAUUUUCCUUUAUAUUGGAUUUGUGGUUAUGAAACCACUAUUCCGAUAACCUUAAAUUUGGGCCAUUACAUGGUCGGCAAACCUAGAUAACAUUCUGGUUCAUUUGAGCUUCGGAUUCCCAGCAAGUUUACCACCUGACUUCUUUCUUCUGCCGUCGUAUUUUUGCUGGAAAAAUAGUUGAUUUGUCCAUAUUCACACACUGUCCCGAACCUCUUUUAUCCUCACUUAAGAUUUCCUUGAUUGUAUUAUCCCCACUACAUGUUGCCUCCCCAAAAAGAAUGCAAUCAUCUGCAAAUAAUAAAUGUGAUACCUGUGGUCCUCUUCUGCUUACUUUGACACCCUUCAAAAAACCUUCAUUUGUUGCUUUUCUCAUAAGACUGGAAAGGCCUUCCCCACAUAUUAAGAAAAGAAAUGGACUCAAAGGAUCACCCUGUCGAAGUCCCCUCGAUGGACUGAAUGUCACCCCGACAUUUCCAUUUACCACAACCUUGUAAGAAACAAUAGUCAUGCAAUUCAUAAUAGUAUCAAUCCAACUUCGAGCGAAACCCAUUCGACACAUUAUUUCUUUAAUAAAAUUCUAUUCAACUCUAUCAUAAGCUUUACUCAUGUCCAAUUUUACAGCCAUAUAGCCUUUUUUCCCCACUCUUUUCUAUUUUAGGGAAUGCAAUAUCUCGUAAGCAAGCAAAACAUUAUCCGAGAUUAAUCAUCCUGGCACAAAGGCACUUUGUGCACUAUCAAUGCAUUUAUCAAUCACUCCUCUAAAUCUGUUCGCUAUAACUUUUGCCAUUAUUUUAUAAAUGACAUUGCAUAAACUAAAAGGCCUAUAAUGUGUCAUAUUAGCCGGGUUAUUAAUUCUUUGAAUGAGCACAAUAUGAGUUGUAUUAAUUGAACUAACCUCCAUAUCUUCAUUCAAGAGUUGUAGACAGAAGGAAACUACAUCAUCUCCAAUAAAAUGCUAAUACUUCUGAUAAAAUAAAGCUGGGAAUCCAUCUUCGCCUGGUGCCUUAGUGGGUGCCAUCUCGAACAAAGCCUCGCGGAUUUCUUCUCAUGUAUAUUGCACAGUCAGCUUUUUAUUUUCCUCUUUAUAGAUACAUCAACCAAUACCCGAGAGUAAAUAGUCGAGAUUCUCUUGAUUCUCUGAAGCAAAUAAAUUCUGGAAGUAGGACCUUGCUAUUUCUUUCAUUUCCUGGGGAUCUCCCGUAUCCCUUCCAUGUGCAUUUUGUAACCUCCUGAUCUUGUUUUUCCUCUGUCUUUGGGUUGCCUGGCUAUGGAAAAAAGCUGUAUUUUUGUCACGUAAUUUUAACCAAGUCAAUCGAGCCCUUUCCUCCUCAUAUCUUUCCUCCUUCUCAAACUCCAUAUUUAGUUGAAUCUUCGUAUCGAUCAUCUCCGCCAUGUUAAUGUCGUCCCUGUCAGCAUUGAGCAGCCCAGAUAGCUUUGUUGUUAAAAAUUUCUUUUUUUCAUUUUUCUUGUUUCGUAUUUUCCCAGCCCAAUUUUCAAGCCCCUUAUUUAGGAUUUUCAUUUUCUACAAAAAAUUACCUGGUGUCAUCUUCCACAGCUGCUCAGCUUAAGCAACAAACGAGUCCUCCAAAAACCACCAGUUUUCAAUUCUGAAUAUAUUCCCAUUUUGUCGUCUUGUUUCUUUUUUAGUAUCAAUUAAAAUGGGACAAUGAUCAGAAAAAGAAUGAACCAAAUGUUGAGCUUUAACGUAAGAAAAUAAUGAAAUCCAUUCCUUAUUUGCCACCCCCUAUCCAACCGUUCUCGUAUAUUUUUUUUGGGAGAUUACCUCUUUCCCAUGUGAACCAUUUGCCCGAAUAACCCACAUCAUUCAAUUGACAAAACUCCAGCGCUUUCCGAAACAUUUCCAUCCGUCUUUCAUCACGGGGCAAGCCUCCCUUCUUCUCAAAACCAUACAUGACUUCAUUGAAAUCUCCACAUACUAACCAUGGUAUAUUAUCUCCAUUAGAGAGAUUUUUGAGAACAGCCCAUGAAUCUUCUUUAUCUUGUGCGUACGGGGUACCAUAGAAACCUGUAAAAAGCCACAUAACCUCCCUCUCAUCGUCAUGGACUAUCGCGUCAAUAUGCCUUUUAGAGAAAUUUUUUAAAGAAAUAUUAACGCCAUUCUUCCAUGCCAAACAUAGCCCUUCUCUAGUUCCCUCUGCGUCCACCUCAAUGCCAUUCACAAAACCACAUCUCUGUCAAACUCUUUCCAUCUGUUUUCCGUAAAGUUUAGUCUCCAUAAAGAAGACUAUGUGGGGAUCACAAGUCUUCAGCGAGUGCCGAAGUCUUCUAACUGUCCGUGGACUCCCCAAUCUACGGAAAUUCCAACUUAUUAUUUUCAUAACGCCCGGUCGGCUUGCCUCUUGGCAGCCGCCGAUGACAAAUGAUUAAGAUCCAUUAAUCUCCUAUUUCUUGCCGGGGAAUUUAACUCCCCAGUCUUUGAUAAGUCGUCACUCUCCCUUCUAGAUCUUUUUUUACCUUCUUCUCCUACUAAGGCUACAUCCUCCAAGUCAUGAUCCAUCGCAUGUUGACCAUUGUCUGUCAGUGAGCUAACCUGCUUUGCAUAAUCAAAUAGUAAGCCACCUUCCAGAUUAAUGCUGAGAACUGGUUCAAUAGCCUUCCCAAAACUCUUCAUGUGCCCCAUUCUCUGUGGUCCAUUCAUAAAUUGUAAUGGCCCAAAUUCAAUUCUAUCGGAAUAGUGGUUUCGUAACCACAAAUCUGAUUUAAAGAGAAAUUUAUUUUAAUAUUUUUGCAUGAAUAUUGAUAUGAUAGGAAAAUUGUAUGAAAAUAUCGAUAGAAAAAUUUUACUGAUUAAGCGGUUAGUUAGAAAAAGAAAUUAUUGAAGAAAUUAGGUAAAAAUAAGAUAUCGAGACUUCGAUCUCAUAAAACCGAGUCAAAAAUAUUUUUAUAAAUAUUUAUGAAGUGUUAGUAAUAUGGUAUUAAAAUUUCGUUAGAAAAUUUUAAUGUUUGGGUAGUCAAUUAAGUAAAAAGGACUAAAUUGAAAAAGGUGUAAAAGUUACUAGAGGGAUUAAAUAGCUCAAUUAUGAAAUGAGGAGGGACAUAAAUUGCAAAUAACCCCAAAAUGAGAUAUUUUGGGCGGCAUACGUUGAGAAAAAUCAGGAGAAUUGAAGAAAUAAGGGUAAAAUUGGAAUAUUACAAAAUUUGCUUUAAAAGUUAGGACUAAAGUGGAAUUAUCUAGAUUUCUCUUUAUUUUUCUGCACUCUCAUCAGCCAAAAAAUGUCCUACGGGUUUCUUCAAGCUGGUUUUUCAUAAUUUUUGCACCAAAUCCGGAAAAUUCAAAUACGAAGCAAGAUCGAGGAAAAGAAAAAGUUCGGGAUUAGUAGAUUUUUGUUUACGAACAAGUGUCGAGGUAAGUUCGUGUAACUUGAAUUAUAUUCUUAAAUGCUUGAAAUGUUUGUUAUUGAUGUGAAUAUGAUUUGGAUGUUUAUUGUAUGAUAACUGAUGAAGUAUUAUAUUCUUGAUGAAAAGAGGAAAUAAAUCCCGGUUGAAUGAAAGGAAAAUUCGAUGGAUCUCUGAAAAGGAAUUGACGGUAAACAGGAUCUAGCCCGGACGGGUGAUCCUAUCCUGAUAUAGCCCUCCCGAAGAAUAUGUGGAAAAUGGAUUUAGCCCGGACGGGUAAUCCGAAUUAGGGUCUGAAUUUAGCCUGGACUGGUAAUUCAGAUCCAAGCUCAUUAGAGUAAUUGUCGUUGCAGGGGAUUUAGCCUGGACUGGUAAUCCCGACAAUAUUCUGUGAGUUUAUAUUACAGGGGAUUUAGCCUGGACUGGUAAUCCCGCUGUAAGGAUGAGGUUCGCGGGAGUGUGCUCUCUGAAAUGGAAAUGUGCGCACAUGAAUAUGAAUUGACGGACCCGGAUUUGUGCACUUAGGUGUACCCCUGAAAAUCCAUCGAAAUUCCAAGUAGUUCAACGGGAUAAAUAUGGAAAUAUAAUAUGGGAAUGGAAAUCAUGGAAUUGAUGAGCUCAUCAAUCACGAUAUAUAUAUUAUUGAUACAUGGAAAUUAUUAGACUAACUUGAAUGUUGAGUUUGUGUAUGAUAGGGGAAUAAUGUAUUGAAUGGAUGUAUGAAUGUUUAUUGCAUUGUGUUAAAAAUAUUAGGUAAGUAUAAUUCCUGUUACAUGAGCUUACUAAGCACAAAGUGCUUACCCUGUUUCUUUUUCCCCCUGUUUGUAGAGUUGAGAGCUUGGAGGUCGGAUUUGGUCGGAGACGCAUCACACUAUCAAUCUCAAGAUCUCGGUACAUAAAGAAACUUUAUUUUGGAAAUCAAUGGCAUGUAUAAGCUAAGAAAGUAGAUGUUAAUGUGGAAUGAAUGUAUGGUUAGCCAUUGGUAUGGCUAACAAAUUUUGGUUUUGGUAUGUGAUGAAAUUAUCUUAUGAAUAUGAUAAAUCUAUCUUAAAAAAAAAUUCGGUAAAAUCUGUUAAUGCCUCAUACUCUAUUUCGGCGACGAAUACGGGUAGGGGGUAUUACAUAAAUCUCAUGUUUGGCUCCUGAAUCCCGUCUGAACUCCCCUCCCCUUCCUCUCGUAGCCAGACACUACUCAUAGUCAGAGCUCUUCGGGAUUGUGCUUUUAUUGAUAAAUCCCACCCCAUUUCAGCUAUUUCCACUCCAGUCAUCGUUUUUGCCUCACAAAACGAGUCAUUAUGGCCUAGUUUUCCACAAUAGAAGCAGAAAAGAGUCAAUCUUUCAUAUUUAAAACAGACAUAUGAUCGUCUCCCACAGAAUUCGAUCAACUUAGACCCUAACCCUCAUAAAGUUUCUAUUUUCUUUCCAUAAAUUUGACACAUCAUAUUCCAUAAAAUACCCCAAAAAAUUCCUUAGAUUCACUGCUAAAUUUUUAGAAAACAAACCAAUGGGCACUUCAUGUAUCUGAACCCAGAAAGGGGUUAGCACUAAAGGGACCUGCAACGAAUCCUCCCCCCACCACAGUCUAUAAAAUAUCAAUAGAUGAUUAUUGAAGGUCCAUGAGGAGCCUUUCAAAACCCUCUCCAUAUCCAUAGAAUGAAAAAAUUGGAACAAAAACCUUUUUCCCCCCAAAUCCCGAAUGCAAACUCCUCGAACAGGAUGCCAUAGAUUUGACAUAGUACUUUUCAUGGCUGGAAAGUGAAUUAUACUCGUAAGAAAACACCCCACUAAUUGAAAAAACUCCUCACUUCUUUCCGUACCUAGAUUUUUUUUUGAAUUUUAAUAACAACAUCUUCCUCUUCGUUGAUCGAUAAUUGGGCUAAUUCAUUCUCCAUAAUUUUUAGGGACACAAUGCCGUAAGCCAAAAAGAAAGACAGAAGAACAAAAAACCUAAAAUCUUGCCAGAGGCAGCAGACACAAAUGGCUAGGCGUUGCUGAAUUAAAAGAACUUACAUCAACAAGAAUAAUCACAAAUGGAAACGAGCUUUUCGACAGAAUAUGAAACUAAUUAUUCAAGCUCAAUAAAAAAAAUAUGUUUUUGUUCUUUUUUUUCUUUUCGAUUUCUUUUUUUUUUUUGAGAAAUAGUUAGGCAACUAACCAAAUCAAAUCUUGACAAAAAGAGGAGUCAAUAAAAAGGAUACAUUUACAAAAUAGAUUUGGGUUAAGGGUUAACAUUAAUAGGUUAAAAAAAUGUUAGGAUCAAUGAGGUUUACUGGGGGUUAACACAACAAUUAAGGUGGUUAAAUGGGUUAAAUCCUAAGUGUCUCUAUAAUGUCAAUAUAUUAAAUCAAUAAUAUGGUCUAGAUAUGUAUAAUAUAAGAAAGUUCUAGAAUAACAAAUGAAGUUGACAUACUUUCAACCAAAAAUAAAAUGAUCACGAAUAAAUAUAUGCUCUAUAGGCUCAAAGGCUCACAAAAAAUUAAGGUUUUGAUGUCAAACUUGCAAUUUCAGAGUUUGAAGAUAAUAAUUCAAUUCAGGGAGGCAACCUAAAAUAUUUAUUUCUUAAAAAAUAACUUAUCAUGCUUGACUCUCUCGUGCCUUAAAGACACACAAAUUAAUCCAAAACAAUAUCAAUAAAAAUUUCAAAUAAAAAAUUCACUCUAAUGGAUAACCUUCUCAGACUUAAGAUGUACAUUGUCCUUAAUGGACAAAUAGAUGUAAGCACAGAAUAAGAUAAUAUCAAAAGAGAGGGAGAACUGAAAUUGCCCUGAAUAUGGAUGAAUUCACCAUAAUAGUGAAAACUGGAAUCGUAAACGAGUUUAAAUGAAAUGCAUGUUUCUGAGCAAACUAAUAAGAAAAUGAACAAAAAUAAAUAAGAAGGUAAAGAGAUUAUAAACUCGAACAAAAAAACCAUCAAAAUAAUAAAAAUAACAACAUAGUUUAAAAUAGAAAUAAAAUAAAUUAGUAUCACAAAAAAAUACAACAAUUAAAAAUAAAAGCACAAUUGAAAAUAAAAUAAAUAAAGCAAAUAAAAUGAAAAAAUCAGUGAUCGUCGUCGUGAGAGGCGUCAGGAUCGUACGGAACAUAAGCAGAAUGAGUGAUAUGGAGGUGCUGGUGAAUCGAUGCAAAGCCGCGUAAAUGUUUGUUGAACAGUGCUUACGGUUACUCGACGUACUCAUAAUGUAACCGCUCGAGGUGAUUUAGCCGAUGUGAAAUAUCGUCGAGUGUGACUGAAUGUGCAGGUGCGGUAGUAGAAGGGCUCGGAGAAGUGGGAAUGGGUCGCAGUGCUGGGGGGAGAUCAUUGUUAAGGUGCUCAUUAUCCUUGUGCUAUUAAGUCACUCGUAGCAACACAUACUGAUCACCGAAAGGCCCAGACUAACGAGCGAUCAUCCUCAUGUGUUUCAUAAUAUUUAAACCUUGUGGUGUCAUGUCCCCAACCAAAGUAAGAGUACUAAUCUGUUCGAGAGUCUCGAUGAGACUGAAGAGACUAGUCAAGAGUGUGAUAUAUAGACCCAUACAAAGAGGUCCUCUCCGUGACCGCUCACUCUGAUUACAACAACACUGAGCUACGAAGUGGGAUAGAUCAAUCAGAUGUUGUCCGUGCAUGCUCUAUAAGAAAUAUGCAUCUAAAGUGCCCAUGACGCUUGUAACGACCCGUUUUCAGUGGUGUUAGAAAUAGUGAUUUUGGGACCACAAUUCUGACGAGUGAAUUAUUAUUUUAUCAUUUAUUUAAUGUUUAUCGGAUUAUAUUAAGGUCGUAUUAAAAUUUUGUUAAGAAAUUUUGAUGUUUAAAUGGUUAAUUAGGUGAAAAGGACUAAACCGUAAAAAGUGUAAAAGUUGAGAGUUCUAUUAGUUAAAGUGGUCCAAUGACUAUGAAAUCAAAAAAUAAAAGGAUUGAUUGGUAAAUAUACCAUUUAAAGUGUCAAUGGAUGUGCAUGGACAAGGUUUUAAUGAAAUUUUGAUAGUUUUUAAAGGUUAAAAUGACAAUUGAAUAAUUAACUUAAAAACAAAAGAAAUUAAAAAUGGUAUCAUCUUUAUCCUUGGCUAUCUCCACCAAAAUUUGAAGAGAAAAACAUGAUUAGGAUAGGGUUGAGAAUUCGAUCAAGUUUCUACUUGUAUGUAAGCGAAUUCAAGCUCUGUUUUUAAUAAUUUUUGUGUUUUUAGUUCAUUUUAGCUUAAUCUAGCUAGCCCGGGGGUUAAUUUGCAAAACUAUUAAUGGUUGAAAGACUUGUCAUGGAUAUUUUUGAAUGUGUUUUGACAUUUUUUGAUUGAUUAUUUAUCUUUGUUGUAAAAUAAACAUGUUUGUUAAGUGAUUUUUAUUGAAUUUUAGAAAUAUGGAUUAGAUUGUUAAAAGUAUAAAGCCAUGGGUUUUGUUGUGAAGUGUUGGUAAUAAUGGGUUGUUUCAAGGUCUCUUUGAACAUUGGUUAAGUUGGAUUUAGGUUAAAAUGAUUAGAGUUUAAGUUAUGAGCUUGAGGACAAAAUUGUGAAAAGUCAAAGUAUUAGGGUAAAUUUUGUAAUUCUUCAUAAAUAUUAAUUAUGGAUUAAAUUUAAUUCUAGAAGUACUUAAUUGAAUGAAAUUAUUUAUUUAGAUCAAGAUAAACCACAAUCAUACUUAAAUUGAAGAAAAGCUAAAGCUUCGGAUUAGUGUUCGAUUAUACUUUUACGCCCUAGUUAUCGAGGUAAGUUCGUAUGAACUAUGAUCGUUUUAAUGUUAGUUAAAUUGACUAUUUGAUGUGUUGUUUUAAUAUAAAUGAAUCUAUGUAUAAAUGUAUCUAAGUUAUGAUGAUUUGACGGAUAACGAGUCUUGUUUGAACCUUAAGAAUUCUUAGGAUACAAAUGACAUGUCAUUAGGGAUUUCAUGUUUCGGGUGUUGGUUUUGAAUGUCCUAUCGAUGACCGAGGUCCUGCAUUUGUUGCGAAUUCUUCAUAGCUCGUGUGGGCAGCAUCGUGUAGCUAACAUUCUGACCCAUAACUCAUGUGAGCAGACCUAUUUCAUAGCUCGUGUGAGCAUUAAUGUAAAGGAAAUGUUAUGGUUAUAUGGAAAGGCACACUACGUGUGAGCAUUCUUGAGUAUCUGAUGUAAUUUUAGAUGGUUCAAUGGAUAAGAAAAGGAAAUGAAAUGGUAAGUAUGCAAAUAGAAUGAAUCAUGAUUUUAUAAUGACAUUGAUGAGUUAAAUGAUGUGUUUAUAUAUGGUAAACUACAUAUCUUAUGGUUGAUUUCAUUUGUAUCAUGAACAAGUGCACUAACUUGUUAGUUUGAUGAUGUUGUAUAGGCUUUUACUAAGCUUAUGGCAUUGGUAAUGAUUUAUGCUUAAUCUAUGAAUUGUAUAAAUGAAAUGGUAAGUUAUGCUAAGUUUUUACGAGCUUACUAAGCACUCGUUGCUUACAUAGUUACUUUCCUUUGUUUUAUAGAUUAUUGAAAGCUCGAUCGGUUGGAAGUUCACCGAAGACCUAUCACACUAUCCAACAAUCAUUUCAGUAGUUUUUUUGUGUGUGUGUAUUUUGGCCAAGGUUAAUAAUGACAUGUAUAAGAUCUUUGUAAUGUAAGUUUUGGUAUGUUUAAGCUUUUGCAGUUAUGUUGGUUUGGUGCACUUUGAUAUCUUACCAAGUUAUGUCAUAUUGGUCACUUAAGUGCUUGUAAAUAAAGUUCUUUUGGUAUGUUUUGAUGGCUUGAAAAUGGUCAUAUGUGGUAGUUAAUUGAACUAGGUUAUUAUGCUUGGGAAUAUACAAUAUUGACUUGUUUUGGUAAGUGAUGUUUUGAUAUAUUUGUGGUGCCUUUGAGUGGCAUAUUGGUUAGAUGAAUUAGGGUGUUUGAAAAGCCAUGUUUUUGUGUAUUUGAAUGAAGUUUAAAUUCCUUGAAUGUAUGCCCAAAUGGUUUGAAUGGUUAGGUAUGAAUUGGACUUGAAAUGGCUUGAUUUUAGGUUAAAUUUUGGGUUCACAUGGCCUGGGACAUGGGCUGUCACAUGGCCGUGUGACACACACAGCCUGGCGACACGGUCGUGUGUCAUUUCAAAUUUUUUAGUGAUUCAAGUUAGUGAGUUACACGGCCUGACACACAGGCGUGUGUGGCAACUCAGAGAGUUAUACGACCAUGUGACCCUUCUCAGUGAGUUACACGGGUGAGGAAACGUGCUAGGACACCGUCGUGUGUCCUUUGUUAGAAUGUUACACGGCUUGGCCACACGACUGUGUGACCCCCGUUUUCAUAUUUUUGCAUCUUUUUCUUAAAACUUCUAUUUUGUUUUGAUUCAGUCUUGAAUUGUUUCUAAGCUAUUUUUAGGGCCUCGAAGGCUCGAUUUAGGGAUAAAAUGCAUAUGAAUGAUUGGUUUACAAUAAAUUUAAUUUAUUUUAUAUUAUAGUGUUAAAUGAUUUUCGGUUGAAAGGUAAUGCUCUGUAACCCUAAUCUAGCGACGGAGACGAGUUAGGGGUGUUUCAAUGCUUGUACUCUUCUUUCGUCUAGUUAAAGUAUGAACUAGAAUGACAUGAAUAUAUUACAAGGUUGGAGGGAGGCACUUAGCCUUAGACUGGCUCGGGUUGCACGGAAUGACAACCUCAGAGAUUUCUGACGAACAUAGAAAGAUCGAUUAAUGGAUGUGUUGUGGGACGGAUGAGAGCUCGGUCACUACUAAGAAAUCCUUAGAAUAUAGGCUGAGAGUGACACCAAAAAUUGCAAUACUAAAGUGUUGAGUGAUACCCUCAAGACAGAAUGAUAUAGCUCGUGGGUCAUCCCCCGAGAAUAAUACAGUCGGUAGGAGGAAUGUGGAGAAAAACUUGAAUGUAAGCUCAACAUAUGUCGACUCCACGAUCGUGAAGAAUCGAUCCCACGGGGUUGCGAUUAAAAGAGAAUGAAUCGGUGUGAAUAAGUCCACAAUAUGGAAGGCAUCCCAAUCUACACGUCUACCCACGCCCAAUGCUUUAUCCUUAAGAUUCUGGCACCUCUCCACAUGGGGUGGAUGGUCGAAGGUGAGGUAUUGGUAACGAGUGGUUGUUAUCGGAGAGGAUGAAGAUGAGGUCCAUGUGGCUUUUCUUUUAUUAGAAUGAGUGGGGACCCCACUUUUUCCUCGUGGGUUUUGCAUUUUGUAUCUGAAAUAAAAUAUAAUAACCAAAUAUCAGAUAACCAAAAAUCAAAACCACAAAAAAUAAAUCUAGCAAAUAGACAAAUCAACAUACGAAAUAAAACAUAUCGGUAAGCGAACUACCUCACGAUGAAAGUCAAAUCACAACGAGUCUAACCAAAAUCUACUUCGAAUACAAAACUAGAGCUAAUACUAAUACUAUUGAGGCAAAAAAAAAUUAAACUAACCAACUAAAACUAAUAAUAAUAGAAUAAUAAAAUAAUAACAAUAAUACUAAUACUAAACAAAAUAAACAUAUUAAUAAUAGUAGGAGUAAUAAUAAUUAAAAUAAUAAGAAAAUAAAUAAAAACAAAAAUAAUAAAAAUUAAAUAAAAUGAAAUGAAAGAAUAGGGUUGAGCCAAACGGUGGUAACGGUGGUGGUUGGUGGCAAUGGUGAAUGGAGGCGCGGUGGUAGAAGCGAGUGAGGACGUGGGAGAGGGCUGAUGAUGGUAAUGCACAGGUGAAGAGGGUUAGAACAGAGGGAAAAAACCAGACGAUAGAGGAAAUGGCAUGAUCGACGGUGGGGGAAGGAAAUGGAAAAAGAGAAGCACGGGAAGGAAAGGAAAUGACAUGAUCGACGGUAGAGGACGUGUGUCUAGCCAAUGUGGAAUGGCCCAGCUUGUGUGGCUCCGAAAGAUUCCUCCAAUUUUUUGAUUUUCCCUCCUUUUGCUUCCAAAUGCUCUCCUAAGUAUAAAAACAUGAAUAUAUAGGAUUAGGGGCAUAAAAUUCACCAUUUUAAAUCGAAUAAUGAUCCAAAAAUGCAUUAAGAAUAAGGCUAAAACAUGUUACUUUUGGCAUUUAUCAAUAGGAAAUGGGUUGGUUUGAAAAUAAAUGGAUUGCUUGUCGUAGAAUAUUAUUCUCGGCAGAACUCAAAAUAUAAAAUUUUAAAAAUUAUAUUUAAUACAAUAAAACAUUUAUUAUAUUUAUGGUAGUAUUUUUUAAUGUGGUAUGAAACUCUUAGUUGAUGAAACUUGUUUAGUGGUAGAUUGAAUAGCCUAUUAGAUCAUUAAUUCUGAAGCCAUUAAUCAUAUUUGUGUUUAUUGCAGGGGUUCAAGUAAAUGAGAAGCCUUCGUGAGAAGGAUCUCUCGUUGCAAACUAGAGAUGGGCGAAAUGUAGAGGCAAAAGUAGUGGGAGAAGUACAUUUGUAUUUUGAUAAUUUUAGGAAAANNNNNNNNNNNNNNNNNNNNNNNNNNNNNNNNNNNNNNNNNNNNNNNNNNNNNNNNNNNNNNNNNNNNNNNNNNNNNNNNNNNCUUUUAAUAAAGGGAUUGCAAUUCAUAAAAAUCAUGUUCUUAUCCGCAAUGGAUGGAUGCAAAAUAAUAUUUAUUUUAUUAAACAAAAGAGCUGCUCACUUCUUGAAACCGAGCUUGUGAAUAAUAAACUUAAAACUUCUCACUCUAAUACUUAUGAUAUUUAAGACUUAGUCGCGUUAAACAAGAAAAAAUGAAUAAACUUUUUAAAUAUGGGACUUUAAGCUCACUUAAAAAGGUACAUCUUCCACAAUGUAAAUCUUGCUUGAAAGGUAAAAUGACAAAGCAAUCUUCUCGUGAAAAAGGCACAAGGGUUGUUCAAUCAUUAAAACUUGUGCAUACUGACGUAUGUGAUCCCAUGAACGUUAGUGUGAGAUUUGGUUACAAUUAUUAUAUAAACUUUAUAGACAUUUAUUCCAGAUAUUGGUAUGUGUACCUAAUGCACCACAAGAGUGAAACUUUUAAAAAGUCUCAAGAGUUUAGUGUAAAAUUGGAGAAACAAUUACGUUUACCCAUUAAGAAACUCCAGUUUGACAACGUGGGGAAUACCUAUAGGAUGAGUUUAUAGGAUACCUCAUAGAGAAUGUGUAACAGCCUAAUUUUCAGUGGUGUCGGAAACAAUGAUUCGAGAUCACUAAAUCUGACCAAUGAGUUAAAAUUUAAUAAACUAAGAAUUAUGGGUCAAGUGUGAAGUUAGAAGAACUUUUGAAUUAGUGAAUUUUGUGAUUUAUUGAAUUUUGUGAUUUAAAAAGAAUUUAAUAGGUAAAUUGGGUCUAAAAUGAGGUAUCGAGACCUCGAGUUCAUAAACCAAGCCAUAAAUAUUUUUAUAAAUAUUUAUGGAGUGUCAUUGAGUUAGUAUAAAAGUUUCGUUAGAAAAUUUUAACGUUUGGAUAGUCAAUUAAUUAAAAAAGACUAAAUUGAAAAUAGUGCAAAAUUUGUUAAAUUGUGAUUAAAUAGCUUAAGUGACUAAUAAGAAGGGAUUUAAAAGGCAAUUAGGCCCAAAUUAUAUGGGCUGGACGGUUGGGCAAGAAAAAUCAGCAAUAAAGUAAGGAGAAACAAGGGCAAAAUUGGAAAUUUUACAAAUUGAAUAUAUAAAACAAAGAUAAAAGUGAAAAAUCUAGAGAUCUCUUCAUAAUUUAUCAGCAAAAACGCCAUAGGAGGUCUGAAACAAGCUGGCUUCUCAUAUUUUUACACCAUGUGAGUUCAAUUCUUUCUUUUUCCUUGAAAUUUUUAUGUUUUGUGACUUUUACAACUAGGUCCAACUAUUGAAUUCAUUAGUUUUUGAUUCCAUGGGUGAUUUUGUAAGUUACCAUGAAUAAGGUCUGGAAUUUUAUGAUGAAUUAUUAUAGAUUUGAAUUUUUAAUUUCAUUAUAUUAUGAUCUUAUUAAGUGAUUUUAGUAGAAAAUGAUUUUUAGGACCUAAUUGUGAAAAAGUUAGGAAUUGGGGUUUUGUACUGAAAUUAUGAAUAUCAAAGGCUGUUUAGUAGUCUAAAAUGGUUGUAUAAGGUGUUAAUUGAGAAAUUAGAUCAAUUGAAGGGUUAAUUGAGUAGGGACCAAAUUGUAAAAAUUGUUAAUUUUGGGGGUAAAAGUGUAAUUUCUAAAAUUUAAAGGCAUAAAUUGUGAAGUAAAUUAGUAUUGAAUUAGAUGCUAAUAAAUGGAAAAAUUUAUAUUAUAGAUCGUGAAUUCGAAGAUAAACGCAGAAAAGAGAAAGUAUCAAACUAGUUUCUGAACUUUUACAACUUCUACGAAUUGCCCAGGUAAGUUCAUAUGGCUGAAGUUUUAUGAUUAAUUGUUAAUGUGGGAAUGAUAUAAUGUAUCAAUUCGUAUAUUGUUGUUAAAUUAUGAUUAUGGUAAAAAUGAGAAUAAGAUGAGAUUGUUAGUUCAAAUUAAGGGAUACGCAGGAUUGAGUACAUAUGUUCGGUAACCAGUGAUGAAUUGACGGAUAAUUCCAUGGUGGAUCCAUGGCAAAGUGUGAAACGUAGGUAUGGUAUUUCAGUGAAGAAAACCAUACUGAGUUGUGAAAAGUAGGUAUGGUGUUUCAGUGAAGAAAACCAUACUGAGUUGUGAAAAGUAGGUAUGGUAUUUCUGUGAAGAAAACCAUAUUGAGUUAUAGCAAUGUGAAAUAUUCAAGCAAAUUGUGGCACCGGGCAAACGAUGUACUCAAAUCAGUAAGACGAUCCUUAAUUUGACAGGUAUUUGUAAGUGCAAUUGAAGCUAAAUGUCGGAAUUGAAGUUAACAUCUGAUAUUGAGCUCGAUUGGAUAGAUUCAUUGUUUGAGAUUGUGGUUGGCAAGAAAUGUUGAAUUUUUAUUUGUUUAUUAAUGUUGUUAGUGAAAUUUUGGUAAGAUUUUAUUAUGAGCCUAUGAACUUACUAAGCUUUCUGCAAGCUUACUUGUGUGUGUUUAUUAUUUCUUGUAGAUUGAUAUAUAUAUGUUCGGAGGAUCGGAUCUACAUCAACGAUCACACUAUCCAGAUUUACUCCGGUAGAUUUUGUUAAACAACUUUUUGAUUUAUAUGGCAUGUAUAGGGAAUUGAAGUAAAAAGUAACAGAAUGAAUGACUAAGUAGGCAAGGUAAAUCUGAAUGUGAUGGUUGUGUUAGACAUUGAAAUAUACAUGUUUUUAGCUUGAAAUGGUUGAUUGGUUGAACUUUAUUAGUAUUUAAAUGAAGCAGUUGAAAUACUGAAAUUGGUUGUGAAUUGAAAUUUGCAGGGAAGGUUAGAUAAUUAUAAAGGGGUUAUAUUGAAUUUUUUUAAAUAAAAUAAAAUAAAAUUGAUAUGGAACAGUUUUUGGACAACAGCAUUGAUGUAAAUUUGAAAAAUCACCAAAAAUAGUGUAAAUUGAAUUAGAAGCUGAGUGAGAGAUGAAAUUAAAGCUGAAUGAGUCUAUUUCACAUUAAAGAAAUAGAGUAAGCAAAAGAGUUAUAUAUUUUUAGAUAUUUGAAUUUUAGUGAGACAUGGUAAGAAUGGUUUUUGAAGUCCCCUAUUCUAACUUUAGAAAUUCAUUAAAAAUUGUACAGAAGGAAUUAUGAGUUAUAAUUCAUAUGUAUAGAUUUCUUAAUGAGUCUAUUUUAAGUAGAAAUAAGUGGAAGCACCAUAUGAAGUCUGUACAAUGAGAUAAUUGAAUUUUAGUAAUGAGAGGUCAGGAUAGUCAAUCAGUGAAAUAGGGGAGACUGUAACUAAUAAACUGUACUAAUUGGCUAAACAAAAAAUUCUAAAAUAUUUAUAGUAAAAAGUCUAGUUUCAGGGAAAAUUUACAGAUCUAAAUUUUGAGUUUUGUAGCUUGAGUUAUGAUUCAUUUAGUGACUGCUGCGCAGGUGGACAGCCUUAUUAUUAACAGUGAAAUAACUUUUAAAAGUAAAUUUUUAUGCCUGGAACUUUUAAGUUAAGUCAAGUAACGCCUCAUGCUCGACUCCGGCAAUGGUCUCGGGUAAGGGGUGUUACAGAAUGAGAUACAAUUCCAAUUAACUGUGCGAGGUACUCCACAACAAAAUGGCAUGACAAAAAGAUGGAACAAAACCUUGCUUGAUAUGGUUUAUUCAAUGUUAAGUUAUUCACAACUAUCAAUAUCAUUCUAGGGGUAAGAAUUACUAAUGACUAGCUACAUUAUAAAUUACAUACAAACUAAGGCAGCACCUUAGGAUCCAUACAAAAUGUGGCACGACAUGAAGCCAAGCCGAAAUUAUUUUAGGAAUUGGGGAUGCCCAACUUACGUGUUGGCUAAAGAUGCAAAAAAGUUGGAAGCACAGAUAGAAUUAUGCAUGUUUGUUGGUUGUCCAAAACGAACUAAGGGUGGGUGAUUUUAUAACCCAAAAGACCAAACGGUUACGGUUUUGAAUUAUGCUACUUUCCUUGGGGAAAUCUACAUUAAAAAUUUUAAACCUCAAAGUAGAUUAUAACUUCAGAGAAUUUCAGGAAAAUGAGCUUAUUUUUGAUAACUUGUAAGUCAUUUUCCGUGAAACAAACGCAUCCGAAGGAAAAUAAAUAAGAGGGUAAUAAUUUUAUAAACAGUGAUCCAAAAAAUUUUACUCAUACCAUCAUUUUGAUUUAUUUUAUUAGUGAUUUUCAUUUUCUAUUUUACUUUUUUGAGCGACUCUUUAAAUAAUUGAAACCAUUAAAAAUAAACCAUAACAACUAAAAUUUAAAUUUUAAUAUUAUAAAAAAACCAUAUAUUUUAAUUUAAAUUUUAAAAUUAAAUUGUUCAAAGAUUAAGCUAUUUUCUCCGCUUAAUAGGCAGGUUUGAAAAUUUUUUACCACAAAUUAUCUCUCUCAAAAAUAGUAAACCUAACAACAUCCUUUUACCAAAUUUACACAUUUACACGUUUUGUCCAACACUCUCGACAAUUACCAAUCCAAUUGUUAUAAAUUGUGCCAAAGUUCAUUGGAAAAAAUACACCAUCACAAAUUACCAGUAUUAGCCACCCAGCUAGCUAAAUUUUUAUUUAAAAAAACAUGAAGAGGUUUUCCGUUAUUGUUUUGUGCGUGGUGACUCUAGUGGUGGUGUUGUUUUUAGGUGCAGAGGCAGCUCCAACGCCGAAAUGUGAUAACCCCUUGGAGUAUAGCUCAUGCUUGAAUGCGUACAAGAAGCCACCUCCAUCAGCCGGUUGUUGCCAGAAGAUGAAGGAACAAGCACCAUGCUAUUGCGAGUACAUGAAGAUAGAAGAUGUCAAACGUGUUUUUGACAGAGUUGAGAUUGCGAAAAUGGCUAAAUUGUGUGGAGUUUCAUAUUCUUCCACCUGCUAGAAUCCCGUUUGGUUUCAUUUGACUAUCUCUGGCUGGGAUAACCUAGCAUCUCAAUAAAUGAAAUUUUAUUUGAAAACUAUUUUUUUACUCAUAAUUUCGACUAUAAUGUACUUGUGUUCUUUUUUUUUUUUUAGAAUGAUACUGGUGGUUUGCUAUUAUUUACCUUUAUUGUCUUGAUUCAUGUUACAUAUGUGCAAAAAGAACUACAGAAUGAUCUAGAUUUUAUUUGAACCGUACUGGAUUGGUUGGAUUGGAAACUGAUCUGGAUAGUGGUAUAAUUAGAGGGGUUAGAUUGGUUGACCCACAGACCAAUAGGGAGUAUUUGAAUCGAUUUUCUCUAUUUCUUAAAAAAUAUUUUUAUAUUUAUUUUAAUCUUUAAGUAAUUUAUUUAAUCAAACUAGAUGAACAGGUCGAAAUAAAAAUAGUUAUUUAGCUGAUUUAGCUAUCGGUCCAGUUCUGAAAACAUUGUUAUAGUUAAAAAAAAACAAGAGAAAUGAGUUGUGUAGAUCAAAUUAUUAUAUUAUAAAAAUAUAUGUUAUUUGAAUAUUUAUUUGGGUAAAAUACACUAGUAGUGACUCAACUUUUGGUAAAUUUCUUUUUUUAGCUCCAGAUAGCUAAUGGUGACAACUAGACUUAUUAAUUGGCCGAGUUACCUGCCUAGGCCCGAUGGUCUACUCGAAAAAUGGAAGGAUUUGGACAAAUAUAUGAUGCUAAAAAAUGGGCUUGGGUAAAAUUUAAUGCCUAUUUUCUAUAUGGGUCAGGAGCUGUAAUAAAUUUUUUUGACCCGAGCCCAAUCCGACCUGAAUAUAUUAUGUUAUAACAAAUAAUUAUAUUAAUUAUAUAUGUUAACUAAUAAUUAUAUAUUUUUUAUAUUUAUAUUAAAUUACUAAUGCAAUAACAACAAAACCCAUUACCCAAAACCUAAAAAAAAAAAACUUACCCAAGUAAAUCAUUUGCUUCAACUAUACCUAAAGCCCAUCAAUUAUUUAACCAUAGACAUAUUUUAGUUAAUGGCAUACAAUAGAUUUACCAAGUUAUCGUUGCAAGCCCGGCAAUAUUAUUUUAGUGAGGGAUGAACAAAAUUCUAGAACUCUGAUUCAAAAUUAUCUUGAUUCAUCCACCAAUGAGGAAUUACCAAAACAUUUGACCCUUCACACAUUACUAUAUAAGUGAUUAGUCAAUCAAAUAAUAGAUAGGAAAUGGGUUGGUUUGAAAAUAAAUGGAUUGUUUGUCGUAGAAUAUUAUUCUCGUCAGAACUCAAAAUAUAUAAUUUUAAAAAUUAUAUUUAAUACAAUAAAACAUACAUUGUAUUUAUGCUAGUAUUUUUUAAUGAAUUUUUAAUGUGGUAUUAAACUCUUAGUUGAUGAAACUUGUUAGGUUCAAUAGACUAUUAAAUCAUUAAUUCUGAAGCCAUUAAUCAUAUUUGUGUUUAUUGUAGGGUUCAAGUAAAUGAGAAGCCUUCGUGGUAAGGAUCUCUCAUUGCGAAUUGGAGAUGGGACAAAUGUAGCAACAAAAGUAGUGGGAGAAGUACAUUUGUAUUUUGAUAAUUUUAGGAAAAUUAUUUUAAAUGGCAUUUUUUAUGUACCUAGUUUUAGGAGAAAUUUAAUUUCUGUUGCAUGUUUAUUUAAAGAAAGUUUUUCUGUGGCUUUUAAUAAAGGGAUUGCAAUUCAUAAAAUCAUGUUCUUAUCCGUAAUGGAUGGGUGCAAAAUAAUAUUUAUUUUCUUACACAAAAGAGCUACUCACUGCUUGAAACCAAACUUGUGAAUAAAAAACUUGAAACUUCACACUCUGAUUCUUAUGAUAUUUAAUACUUAACCGUGUUAAACAAGAAAGAUUGAAUAAAAUUUUUAAAGAUGAGAUUUUAGGUUUACUUAAAGUGAUACAUCUUCCACAAUGUGAAUCUUGCUUGAAACGUAAAAUAACCAAGCAAUCUUCUAAUGCAAAAGGUACAAGGAUUGUUCAAUCAUUCAAACUUUUGCAUACCGACGUAUGUGGUCCUAUGAACGUUAGUGUAAGAUUUGGCUACAAUUAUUAUGUAAACUUUUUAGAUAUUUAUUCCAGAUACUAGCUAGUAUGUGUACCUAAUGCAUCACAAGAGUGAAACUUUUAAAAAAAUUUCAAGAGUUUAGUGUGAAAGUGGAGAAACAAUUAGGUUUACCCAUUAAGGCACUUCGGUUUGACCGACGUGGGGAAUACUUAUCGGACGAGUUCAUAAGAUACCUCAUAGAGAAUGAGAUACUAUCCCAAUUAACUGUGUAGGGUACUCCACAACAGAAUGUCAUGACAGUGAGAUGGAACAAAACCUUGCUUGAUAUGAUUUAUUCAAUGUUAAGUUAUUCAAAACUUCCAAUAUCAUUCUCGGAGUAAACAUUACUACCAACUUGAGAUAUUUUAAAUUACAUAAAAACCAAGGAAGCACCUCAGAAUCCAUACGAAAUGUGGCAUGACAUGAAGCCAAGCCUAAAUCAUUUUAGGAAUCGGGGAUGCCCAACUUACGUGUUGGCUAAAGAUGCAAAAAAGUUGGAAGCACGAAUAGAAUUUUGCAUGCUUGUUGGUUGUCCAAAACGGAGUAAGGGUGGAUAAAUUUAUAAUCCAAAAGACAAAAAGGUUAAGGUUUCGACUUAUGCUACUUUCCUUGAGGAAAUCUACAUUAAAAAUUUUAAACCUCGAAGUAGAUUGUUACUUCAAAAAAUUUCAGGAAAAUGAGCUUAUUUUUUGAUGACUUGUAAGUCAUUUUUCGUGAAAUAAACGCAGCUAAAGGAAAAUGAAUAAGAGGAUAAUAAUUUUAUAAACAACGAUCUAAAAUAUUUUACUCAUACCAUCAUUUUGAUUGAUUUUAUUAGUGAUUUUUAUUUUCUAUUCUACUUUUUUUAGCGACUCUUUAAAUAAUUGAGACCAAUAAAAAAACCAUAACAACUAAAAUUAAAAAUUUAAUAUUCUAAAAAAAACCAUAUAUUUUAAUUUAAAUUUUAAAUUUAAAUUGUUAAAAGAUUAAGCUAUUUUCUCGGCUUUGUAAGCAUGUUUCAAUUUUUUUACCACAAAUUAUCUCCCUCACAAAAAUAGUAAACCUAACAAUAUCCUUUUACAAAAUUUACACAUUUACACGUAUUGUCCAAAACUCUCGACAACUAAAAAUCCAAUUGCUAUAAAUUGUGCAAAAGUUCAUUGGAAAAAACACAUCAUCACAAAUUACCAUUAUUAGUCAGCCAACUAGCUUUUUUUUUUUUGAAAAAACAUGAAAAGGUUUUCCCUUAUUGUUUUGUGCAUGGUGACUCUAGUGGUGGUGGUGUUUUCGAGUGCAGAUAAUAUGAUAGUAUAAAAAUUUCGUUAAGAAAUUUUAUCGUUUGUAUGCUUAAUUUGUGAAAAAGGACUAAAUCGCGUAAAGUGUAAAAGUUGUGUUCUAUUAGCUAAAAGUGUUAAAUAGCUAUAUAACUUUAAAGUGGAGGUCCUUAUAUGAUAUCUAGACUACUAAUUGAGUUAUUGGAUGUGCAUGGCAUGGUAUUUUUGAAAAUUUUAAAGUUUGGUAAGAGUGAAUAGGUAAUUAGGAAAUUAAAGGUUAAAAAUUUAAUAUAACAAAAUAGUAAUCAUCUUUCUUCUUCAACCUACCAAAAAUUUCAUCAAACAUUGGGGUUUUGAAGCUUUGAAAUUCAGCUAAGCUCUGUGAUAGCCCGAAAUAGGGCCUAAUCGGAAUAGUGGUUUCGUAACCACAAAUCCGAAGUGAAAUAGUUUUAUUUUAUAAAUUUUUAUUAGUUACUGAUUGAUUGAAAUAUUGUGUAAAAAUAUGGAUAGAAAAUUUUAAUGAUUUAGUGCCUAAUUGAAUUUUUAGGACUAAAUCGAGAAAAAUGCAAAGUGUGUCUAAUUAGUGAUUAAAUGACUUAAUUGAAUUAUUGUAUAAAAUUGGAAGUGUUUAUGUGGAAAUUAGACCAUUAAUUAGUGUUAUGGACACAAAAGGAUAUUUCUAGAAAAAUAUCUAAGUAAUGGGUCAAGGGUAUUUUUGUCCAAAUUGAAUAAAAGACAAAAUAAAGUGAAAAUAAGUGUCCAUCUUCUUCAAAAUCAGACGUUUGCUGCCAAAAAAAUUCAUGUCACCAUAGCUAGGGUUCUUGAUCUUCCUAAGCUCAAUUGUAAGUGAUUUCUUGCCCCGUUUUUAAUUAUUUUCGUAUUUUUAUGCUUAUUGAAGCUUGAAUUUCAUGUUUCUACCAUUUAAUUUAAAUGAAAUUGAAGUUUAAAAAUUAACCCAUUCAUGAUAUAAUUGUAAAUUGAUUAGUGAUGUUAGAUAAUGAAUGUUUGAAGUGUUAAUUACAAGUUUUACUAGAUGAAUUUCAAUGAAAAAGUUGAAAAAGGGCUAAAUUGUGAAAGAUGGUAAAGUGUGCAUAAAGUUGUGAUUUUGUGAAAUUGAGGGCUGUUAUGAGCAUGAAAUAUGAUUUAGUGAAGUUUGAAAUUUAAGAAUUUAGUGAAUUUUAUUUUUACGAGCUUAGGGACAAAAGUGGAAUUUUUGAAAAGUUUUGGGGAAAAAUGUAAAUUUUCCAAAAUGUUGUGUAUGAAUUGUAUUUGAAUGAAAUGUUGAUAAAAUGUAUUAAAUUGUGUUAAUAUAGAUCAAGAAAGAAGAAAUAGUGCAAGUGAUCGGGGAAAAGAGAAAGUUAUCGACUAAAUUACAAAAAUAGUCGUUUUGCAUCCGAGGUAAGUUAUGUGUAAAUAAUAGUAAUAUAUUUUAUAAAUUGUGAAUUUUAUUUGAUAUGUGAAUCAAUAUUGAAUGUGGAAGGAAAAUUGUUCAUGAAUUAUUCAAGUGAUAAAGUGUUUAAAAUAAAGUGUUAAGUGUAAAUUCCCGGUUGAACUUAGGAAUAGAAGUGGAUACAAGUGACAUGUCACUAGAGAUCAGUGUUACAGUGUUACAGUGAGUCCCGGGUGCUGGGUGAUCUAGCAUGUGUUGCAGACACCUGACAGCUUGUGUGAGCAGGCCCGUGGACAUUUCCAGUGUUAUUGAUCAGUGGUAGCUUCGGCUACGUUUCAGUGGUAGCUUCAGCUACAUAACAGUGGUAGUUUCGGCUACAUUUCAGUGGUAGCUUCGGCUACAUAACAGUGGUAGCUUCGGCUACAUAUCAGUGUUGCACUUAUGUGCUAAAUCUCUACGUAUCUGUGUAUAUUCCGAGUGUUCAACGGGAUUAAUGAUGGGUUAAAGUGAAUAUGAAAUGAAGUGUGUAUGCAGGAACAAUUGAAAGAAUUGAGCAUAUGUGAUAAAUGUUAAGUGUGAAAAUGUAUAUGCAAGUGAAUUGGUAAGAUUGUGCAUGUGUAAGUGAUUGAAAUUGCUAAGAAAUGUUUUGAUUAGUUAUAUGUUAAAAGUGUUAAUUAUUAAAUGAGUAAUUAUUAUUUACAUGUAACUUACUAAGCUAUUUAUAGCUUACACCUUUCUUUCUUUUCCUUUGUUUUAUAGUGAUUUGAACUUGAUCGAAUUGGGGAUCGUCGGAGCUCGUAUCACACUAUCAUAAUCAUCUCGGUAUUAUGUGAUUUUCAAAAUGUUUAAACUAUGGCAUGUAUAGGGUCUUAAUCAUUUUGAGCAUGUUCAAAUGAUAUGGCUAAUAUUAGCUAUUGAAGUAGCUAUUAAAGAAUAUGUUUUGGUGUUAUGUAUGUUAAAAUGGUAACUAAUUCAAAGAAGCAGUUUCUUUGACAGCAGCAGUGGCGUGAAUGUGAAAAAUCACCAUAAAUAGUAGAAAUGGAAUUAGAGAGUGAAUUAUAUAUGGAAUUAAAUCUUAUCAAGUCUAUUUUUAUAUGAAAUAAACGGUGUAGGCAAAGGAAUUCUGUAUUUUGAGAUAUUUGAAUUUUAGUGAGAUAGGGUCAGAAUGGUUUUUGAAGUCCCCUAUUCUGACUUUGAAAAAUAAUUAUAAAUUGUACAGAAAGAAUUAUGGGUCAUAAUUUAUAUGUGUAGAUUUCUUAGUGAGUCUAUUUUCAAAAGAAACAAACGAUAACCUUAUAUGAAUUCUGUACAAAGAGAUAAUUGAUUUUUAGUGCCAAGAGGUCAGAUCUGUUGAGCUGUGAAACAGGGGAUACUUUAAUGAAUAAACUGUACUAAUUGGCUAAGUCAAAAAUUCUGAAAAUUUUAUGAUAAGUAGGAACAUGAGUCUAGUUUCAGAUAAAAUUUACGGAUUUAAAUUUUUAGUUUUUUAACUUAAGUUAUAAUUAAAUUAGUGACAGUCGCGCAGGUGGACAGUUUUGUUGUAAACAGUGAAUUUAAUUUUAAAAGCAAAUUUUUAUACUCCGAAUUGGUAAGUUAAAUUGGAUAACAUCUCGUACUCGAUUUUGGCGACGGUCUCGGGUAACGGGUGUUACAAGCUCUCCCUUGCAUGGUGAGUGAUUUUUGUUUCGUUUUUAUUGGUUUUUAUGUUUCCGGGAUCGUUGUAGCUUAACCUAGCUAGCCCGGGGACUAAUUUGCAAAAUAGUUGAAGGUUUAGGGUUUUACCAUUGAUUAAUAUGUUAGGAUUUUGAAAUUUAAUGAAAUAAAAUUAAUCAUUGUUGUGAGAUAAACACUUUUUGUUCAGUGAGUUUUGAUAAAAUUGUCAAAUAGAGACUAAAUUAAGAAAUGGGAAAAUUGUGUGUUAAAUGUGUGAAAUUGUUAAUUUUCUGAGCUGCUGUAUGCACAUAUGAAAUUCGACUAGGCUUAUAUAGGGAUAAAAUUGCAUAAAUUUCAUUUUACGAAGGACUAAUUUGUAAAGAAGUUAAAUAUUUAGGGGCAAAAUGGUAAUUUUGCCAUAACUUGAAAUUUGGAUUGAAUUGAAUAGAAUAAUGAUUAAAUUUGUUAAAUUUGAUUAUAUAGAUCAAGAAAAGCGACGUACGGAAUUAGAUUGAGGGAAAUAUAAAGUUAUCGUUUAAACAAUCAUUUUUCAUCGUACGAGUUCAAGGUAAGUUCGUGUAAUUGCAUUGUGUAUUUAUAUACUUUAAUUGAAAUAUAUGUUUUUGGAUUGUGUAAUCAUGAUGUAUAAUUAUCGAACUUAUAACCGAGGUAGUACGAAGAAUAUAGAGUCCCGUUUGAACCUUAGGAAUUCGUAGGAUACAAAUGACAUGUCAUUAGGGUUACCGAUUUGGUUGUGGUCAUGCAUGUGUUGCGGACACACCACAACUCGUAUGAGCUUAUCGAUUUCAACUCGUGAGAGCUUACCGAUUCAUAGCUCGGAGGAGCUUACCGUUUAUCACUUGUAUGAGCAUACAUUUACAAGAAUUGACGGAUUUACAGUUUAGUACAUCUCGCGCGUGCUACCCUCAUAUCUAACGAUAUUCUAAGUGGCUCAACGGGUAUAGUGAUAUUACGAGAUUACACAAGUUUAAUACGAACUAGUACAGGUAUUUACAUGAAAAUGGGUUAUAUAUGAUAUACGGAUACACGGUAUAGAUGGUACAUGUACAUUAAAUUUAAUAAUUGUUGAAUUCAUACAUGAUUCUCGGUUUUAUAUGAAUACAUGGCUAACUUGGUUAAUGGUUAUGUGAUAGGCUUUGGCCAAAUUGAAUUAUGUUAUGCUUUGAGUUAUUUACCUAAAUUUGUGGUUAAAUGGUAAGUUUAAUUCUGUAUUAUACGAACUUACUAAGCUUAAUUGCUUACUCUAUUUAUUUUCUCAUGUUUUAUAGAGAUUCGAAAGCUCGUUCGGAUUGGAAGUUGUCAGAGACCGCAUUACACUAUCAAACUUUAUUUUGGUACUUUUGACUUUAUAUUUUGGGUUAAAUGGCAUGUAUAGGUCAUUUUGGCUAAUGGUAGCCUUUAUGUUUUAUUGUGUAUUUAGCCAUUUGAUUUGUCUUGAAUUUGGUAUAUUUUGUUAUGUAAAUAUGUAAAUGGCCUUAUUGUAUAUGAUAUACGGUUGUCAUGUAAUGCUUUGUUUGUGAAUUGGUAUUAGGGUACCAAAUGGUUGAAGUUAAAAUGUGGUAUCAUGUUCAAUUUAGGCACUAGAUCUCAUAGGUGAGGUUGACCAUUUAGGUAUACUUUGGAAGUAUAUUUGGUAUGUUUUAAAGUGAUCAUUUGAAUGUGUUUAUGGAUAUCACGUUGUAUGUGUGAAAUUACAUAUUAUAAACUUGAUAUUGGUUGGUUUUAAGUGUCUACUUAUGCCUUGGUUCUAUACAAAUUGAUGUGUAUAGGUUGGUAUCAAUGUGGGUGAGGAAUAUGGCUUGGAAAAUGGCUUAUUUUUGUCCACACGGGCAGAGACACGGGCGUGUGUCUCAGCUGUUUGUGACACACGGUCAGGAGACACGACCGUGUGUCCCGUGAUACUUCUAUACAAAUCAAGUCAGUAGCUUCACACAGCCUAGCACACGGGCGUGUGGCUUGGCCGUGUGGCACAAGUCAGUAUACUCUCCAGUUUUCACACGGCUUGGCACACGGGCGUGUGAGGUCAUUUCGAAUGGUACACGGCUUGGCACACAGGUGUGUGGUUGACUGUGUGACCCAAGUCAGUGAGUUACACGGGGUUGGACACAGGCAGAGACACGACCGUGUGAUCCCAUUUCGAAUGCCCACACGGGCGUGUCUCUUGGCCGUGUGAGACACACAGCUUAGCCACACGGGCAUGUGUCCCCUGCACAUUGAACAUUUCAAUGUUUUCCUAAAAAUUCCUUGAGUACUCGGUUUAGUCCUGAACCACUUUUAAUGUUUAUUUAAGGCCUUGAGGGCUCUUAUUAGGGACUAUAUGAAAGAAUUUGAAUGGCUUUUGAUUGGAAUGAAAAAAAUGAAUAUAAAAAGUAUAAUUGUUUGAGUUAUAAGUUCGGUAAUGCUCCGUAACCCUGUUUUGACGUCGAAUACGGGUUAGGGGUGUUACAUGAUAACCCCUUGGAGUAUAGCUCAUUUUUGAAUGCGUAUAAGAAGCCACCUUGAUCAGUCGAUUGUUGCCAAAAAAUGAAGGAACAAGCACCAUGCUAUUGUGAGUACAUGAAGAUAGAAGAUGCCAAACGUGUUUUUGAUAGAUUUGAGAUUGCAGAAUGGCUAAAUUGUGUGGAGUUUCAUAUUCUUUCACCUGCUAGAAUCCCAUUUGGUUUCAUUAGACUAUUUCUGGCCAGGAUAACUUGGCAUCUCAAUAAAUGAUAAUUUUAUUUGAAAGCUAUUUUUUUACUCAUAAUUUCGACUAUAAUGUACUUGUGUUCUUUUUUUUUUCGGGAAUGAUACUGGUGGUUUGCUAUCAUUUACCUUUAUUAUCUUGAUUCAUGUUACAUAUGUGCUAAAAGAACUACACAAUGAUCUAGAUUUAGUUUGAAUCGUACUAGAUUGGUUUGAUUGGAAACUGAUCUAGAUACCAAUAUAAUUAGAGGGGUUAGAUUGAUUGACCCACGAACCAAUAAAGGCUAGUUGAAACGAUUUUCUCUAUUUCUUUAAAAAUAUUUUUAUAUUUAUUUAAAUUAUUAAAUAAUUUAUUUAAUUAAACUAGACGAGUAGGUCGAAAUGAAAAAUAGUUAUUUGAUUGAUUUGACCAUCGAUCCAGUUCUGAAAACAUUGUUAUAGUUUAAAAAAAAUGGGUAGGGUAAAUCAAAUUAUUAUAUUAUAAAAAAUAUAUGUUAUUCGAAUAUUUAUUUGGGUAAAGUACACUAGUAGUCACUCAACUUUUAGUAAAUUUCUUUUUUUCUCAUCGAAUUAUGAAAAAUUACAAAAUGAUCACCCAACUAUUCAAUUUUCUAUUUUUUGAUCUCUAGUUAGCUAAUGGUGGCAGCUAGACUUGUUAAUUGGCCGGAUUACUUGCCCAAGUCCGACGGCCCGCUUGAAAAAUGAAAGGGUUUGGACAAAUACACGAUGCCGAAAAAUGGGCUUGGGUAAAAGUUAAGGCCUAUUUUCUAUAUGAGUCGUGAUCUGUGCAAAUAUUUUUCACCCGAGCACAAUCUGACCCGAAUAUAUUAUGUUUUAAAAAUAAUUAUAUUAAUUAUAUAUGUUAAAUAAUAAUUAUAUAUUUAUAUAUAUUGAAUUACUAACCCAAUAAUAACUAAACCCAUUACCCAAAACCUAAAAAAAACUUAGCCAACUAAAUAAUUGGCUUCAGCUAUUCCUAAAGCUCGUCAAUUAGUUAACCAUAGACAUAUUUUAGUUAAUGGCUUACAGUAGAUAUGCCAAGUUAUCAUUGUAAGCCUCGAGGUAUUAUUUCAACGAGGGAUGAACAAAAUUCUAGAACUCUGAUUCAAAAUUAUCUUGAUUCAUCCACCAAUGAGGAAUUACCAAAACAUUUGACCCUUCACACAUUACUAUAUAAAGGAUUAGUCAAUUAAAUAAUAGAUGGAUAAUGGGUUGGUUUGAAAAUAAAUGGAUUGCUUGUCAUAGAAUAUUAUUCUCGUCAGAACUAAAAAUAUAAAAUAUAAAUUUUUUUAUUUAAUACAAUAAAACAUUUAUCAUAUUUAUGGUAGCGUUUUUUAAAGAAUUUUUAAUGUGGUAUGAAACACUCAGUUGAUGAAACUUAUUUAGUAUUAGGUCAUUAAUUCUGAAGUCAUUAAUAAUAUUUGUGUUUAUUGCUGGGGUUCAAGUAAACGAGAAGCCUUCGUGAUAAGGAUCUCCCGUUGCGAAUUGGGGAUGGGAGAAAUGUAGCGGCAAAAUUAGUGGGAGAAGCACAUUUGUAUUUUGAUAAUUUUAGGAAAUUUAUUUUAAAUGAUAUUUUUUAUGUACAUAGUUUUAGGAGAAAUUUAAUUUUUGUUGCAUGUUUAUUUAAAGAAAGUUUUUCUAUGACUUCUAAUAAAAGGAUUGCAAUUCAUAAAAAUCAUGUUCUUAUCCGUAAUGGAUGAGUGCAAAAUAAUAUUUAUUUUAUUACACAAAAGAGCUACUCACUGCUUGAAACCAAACUUGUGAAUAAGAAACUUAAAACAUCUCACUCUAAUACUUAAGAUAUUUAAGACUUAGUCGCGUUAAACAAUAAAGAAUGAAUAAACUUUUUAAAGAUGGAACUUUAAGCUCACUUAAAGAGAUACAUCUUCCACCAUGUGAAUCUUGCUGCAAAGGUAAAAUGACCAAGCAAUCUUCUAAUGCAAAAGGUACAAGGGUUGUUCAAUCAUUAAAACUUGUACAUACCGACGUAUGUGGUCCCAUGAACGUUAGUGUGAGAUUUGGUUACAAUUAUUAUGUAAACUUUUUAGAUAUUUAUUCCAGAUACUGGUAUAUGUACCUAAUGCACCACAAGAGUGAAACUUUUAAAAAAUUUUAAGAGUUUAGUGUGAAAGUGUAGAAACAAUUAGGUUUACCCAUUAAGACACUUCUGUUUGACUGACGUGGGGAAUACUUAUCAGAUGAGUUCAUAGGAUACCUCAUAGAGAAUGAGAUAUUAUCCCAAUUAACUGUGUAAGGUACUCCACAAUAGAAUAGCGUGGCACAAAGAUGGAACAAAACCUUGCUUGAUAUGAUUUAUUCAACGUUAAGUUAUUCAAAACUAUUGAUAUCAUUCUGGGGGUAAGCAUUACUAAUGACUUCCUAUAUUCUAAAUUACAUAAAAACUAAGGCAACACCUCAAGAUCCAUUCGAAAUGUGGCACAGCAUGAAGCCAGGCUGAAAUCAUUUUAGGAAUUGGGGAUGCCCAACCUACAUGUCGGCUAAAGAUGCAAAAAAGUUGGAAGUACAGAUAGAAUUGUGCAUGUUUGUUGGCUAUCCAAAACAGAGCAACGGUGAAUAAUUUUAUAACCCAAAAUACCUAACGGUUAAGGUUUCGACUUAUGCUAAUUUUCUUGAGAAAAUCUACAUCAACAAUUUUAAACUUCGAAGUAGAUUGUUACUUCAAAAAAUUUCAGGAAAAUGAACUUAUUUUUCGAUGACUUGUAAGUCAUUUUCCGUAAAACAAACGCAUCUGAAGGAAAAUGAAGAAGAGGAUAAUAAAUUAUAAACAGUGAUCUAAAAAAUUUUACUCAUACCAUCAUUUUAAUUGAUUUUAUUAGUAAUUUUCAUUUUCUAUUUUACUUUUUCUAGUGACUCUUUAAAUAAUUAAAACCAUUAAAAAUAAACCAUAACAACUAAAAUUUAAAUUUUAAUAUUAUAGAAAAACCAUAUAUUUUAAUUUCAAUUUUAAAUUUAAAUUGUUUAAAGAUUAAGCUAUUUUCUUGGCUUUGUAGUCCUGUUUCAAUUUUUUUACCACAAAUUAUCUCUCUUUCAAAAAUGGUAAACCUAACAACAUCCUUUUACCAAAUUUACACAUUUACACGUAUUGUCCAAAACUCUCGGCAACUAAUAAUCCAACUGCUAUAAAUUGUGCCAAAUUUCAUUGGAAAAAACACAUCAACACAAAUUACCAUUAUUAGUCGCCUAGCUAGCAAACUUUUUAUUUAAAAAAACAUGAAGAGGUUUUCCCUUAUUGUUUUGUGCGUGGUGACUUUAGUGGUGGUGUUAUUUUCGGGUGCAGAGACAACGCCAGCGCCAAAAUGUGAUAACCCCUUGGAGUAUAGCUCAUGCUUGAACGCGUAUAAGAAGCCACCUCCAUCAGCUGGUUGUUGCCAGAAAAUGAAGGAACAAGCACCAUGCUAUUGUGAGUACAUGAAGAUAGAAGAUGUCAAACGUGUUUUUGACAGAGUUGAGAUUGCGAAAAUGGCUAAAUUGUGUGGAGUUUCAUAUUCUUCCACCUGCUAGAAUCCCAUUUGGUUUCAUUUGACUAUCUCUGGCUGGGAUAACCUGGCAUCUCAAUAAAUAAAAUUUUAUUUGAAAACUAUUUUUUUACUCAUAAUUUCGACUAUAAUGUACUUGUGUCCUUUUUUUUUGGAAUGAUACUGGUCAUUUGCUAUUAUUUACCUUUAUUGUCUUGAUUCAUGUUACAUAUGUGCUAAAAGAACUACACAAUGAUCUA
rnacentral:lncRNA from 1 species